rnacentral:rRNA from 1 species
AGUAAUGCAUAGGAAUCUGCCCGGUAGUGGGGGAUAACCUGGGGAAACCCAGGCUAAUACCGCAUACGUCCUACGGGAGAAAGCAGGGGCUCUUCGGACCUUGCGCUAUCGGAUGAGCCUAUGUCGGAUUAGCUGGUUGGUGAGGUAAUGGCUCACCAAGGCGACGAUCCGUAGCUGGUCUGAGAGGAUGAUCAGCCACAUCGGGACUGAGACACGGCCCGAACUCCUACGGGAGGCAGCAGUGGGGAAUAUUGGACAAUGGGCGCAAGCCUGAUCCAGCCAUGCCGCGUGUGUGAAGAAGGCCCUCGGGUUGUAAAGCACUUUCAGUGGGGAAGAAAGCCUUCCGGUUAAUACCCGGGAGGAAGGACAUCACCCACAGAAGAAGCACCGGCUAACUCCGUGCCAGCAGCCGCGGUAAUACGGAGGGUGCGAGCGUUAAUCGGAAUUACUGGGCGUAAAGCGCGCGUAGGUGGCUUGAUAAGCCGGUUGUGAAAGCCCCGGGCUCAACCUGGGAACGGCAUCCGGAACUGUCAGGCUAGAGUGCAGGAGAGGAAGGUAGA